rnacentral:lncRNA from 1 species
AACUUUCAUAACUAGCACAAACACCAAUUCCAAGCCUAACUAGGGCUAUCGACUAAAAACAUCAAAAACACCAUAAAACUUCCACCUCAAAUUUCUCCUUACCUAGCUCAAGAGGGAGUGAGUCCUUUUAGGGCAAGGUUGCUGGGUUGGAGGGCUACAAAACCAUACCAAGCUUGCCCGGAUUGGUGGCCGGAGGAGGAAGUUCCGGCGAAAAAACCAAUUCGGCAGUCGAAGCUUUCGGGCGGCACCGCUCACUCACGGCGGCGCUAGAGCUCCUCUCACCGGUCUAGAAAUGUUGCUGGGAGGGAGACCGACCGAACGGGACCGGUCCGGCGGCGAACGGAGGUCGGACGGCGGCGGGAGGACGGCCGGAAAACCGGUGGGUGUAGAGAGAAGAAAAUCGGGUGAGAAGAGAAGAAAAAUCGGGAGGGAGGGAGAGAGAAAAGAAAAAGGGUUUGGGCCUCACACCCCAAACCGGUCCACACCAUUUAUAACCCAAACUUCCAAAAUAAAAACACCCCGAAAAAUAAUACCCGAAUAAAAAUUACCUUUUUCUAGCUAAAAUUUACUAUUUUUACCGUCGUUGUAUUUUCCUCAUACGAAUAAUCCUCCGCACAUAAUCGUCCCCGAAACCCCUCUAGGGACCAAUUAAACUAUUUACUCAAUGACGGAGACGGUAAAAUUCUUAUUAUAAUCACGCUAGUAAAUAAGGUAAAAAUAUAAGGGUCGGGAUGUGACAGACGGGGCCAGUGCUGCUAGUGGGUGUUAGUUCUGUCAUCGUAGGUUCGCUGAAAUCUGGGUUUCCGAACCGAGUUAAUACUUGGUCUUUUGUGAGUGAGCGACAGGCCGCGCUGUUAUGAGGCUGGUAACGCGGUGAUUUGUGUUUCAAACAAGAAAUCGAGGGUAUCCCGUAUGGGGAUCCACCUGACUUCCCAAUAAUGAUGAGAAUGUUAUACUCCCCGUCCCACUGGGCGUGCCAAUGUUUUGGCCACGCGUCUCAGCAGGGGCAGAGUCGGAACUCCGGUGACUCAAAAGUAAAGAGAAUGAGAUUUGCGGGGCGUGUCACCGCGCGGACGCGGAACGAGAACGGUGCGCGUUCUUGACUUCUAAUCAGGGGAAGUAGAGCUCCGGUGUCACCUCGCGGGCGAGGAAUUACGAGCAAACUAUCUAGUCACCUGUGAAUCGAUACUCAAUGUUCGAAGCGAGCAGAGCAACAAUUAGGGAGAAGAGGCGAGUCCAGACGGGCUCUGAGAUCUAAGGCGAGGUGCACUUAGAACUUAGGGUUUCGAGGAUGCUCGAAGAUUUGCAGUUGUUUUGUAUGAUUGAUUGUGUGUCUUUGAUUUGUGUCAAGCUCCCUUAUAUAGCAAUUCGCAUAGACCUAAUCACAAUCCAUUCGGACUCAGCAAUUAGAAUUCCACAAGGAUACGACCAGCUCGCGAGCCGCGCGAUCCGUGCAACACGUGUCCAGAACAGACCUCGCCUAGAUCUCGCUCACAGCCCCGCAUCAUCUUACUGUAGCGUCGUACGCGAACUCGAACACUAAGAGAUCCUAUCCCACGGAGUACUACAGUCCAUUUCCAACUCUACCUCGCCAUGCACUGUAGAAUCCUACACGAACUGAACAAGGAUCCCGCGAGGACAUCGAAUCCCG